AUUCCAGCUCCAAUAGCGAAUACUAAUUCUGCUGCAGUUAAAAAGCUCGUAGUUGAACUUCUGGUAGGACAGAUCCGGCCUUUGGAUGAAUGUCCAUUGUAUGCUGUGUGUCUUGUCUGGCCAUCCUUUAUGUCUUUUAGGCGUAAUCUUUCACUGUAAAAAAAUUAGGGUGUUUCAAGCAAAAGUUAUUUGGAAUAUAUUAGUAUGGGAUGAUAAGAUAGGCUCUUGAGUGCUACUUUGUUGGUUUAUACACUUAGAGAAUGAUUAACAGGGACAGUUGGGGGUAUUCAUAUUUACAUGUCAGAGGUGAAAUUCUUGGAUUCGCUCAAGACUAACUUAUGCGAAAGCAUUUACCAAGGAUGUUUUCAUCA
rnacentral:rRNA from 1 species